rnacentral:rRNA from 1 species
UACGUAGGGUGCAAGCGUUGUCCGGAAUUAUUGGGCGUAAAGAGCUCGUAGGCGGUCUGUCACGUCGGCUGUGAAAACCCGAGGCUCAACCUCGGGCCUGCAGUCGAUACGGGCAAACUAGAGUACUGCAGGGGAGACUGGAAUUCCUGGUGUAGCGGUGAAAUGCGCAGAUAUCAGGAGGAACACCGGUGGCGAAGGCGGGUCUCUGGGCAGUAACUGACGCUGGAGGAGC